AAGUUAAUGAAUGGCUGUGACCAUCUAAAAGAGAAGAUGUAUCAGUAUGAAAAUGAGAAAACAGAGAAGCAGUUGUGAGACAACUUCAAUAAGAACUGACAGAUACCCUAAAAAAGCAGUCCAUGUCAGAGGAAUCACUGAAGGUCAUGUCACGUUAUUGUGCUAACUUAGAAGAUGAGGCAUGGGAUUUAAAGAAGAAAUUACGUCAAAUCAUAAGUCAAGUACUGCUAAAUUUGAAUCUGGAUCCUAUAGAGCUUCUCCAAGAUCUACUGACAAUCAACUUGUGAAAGCAUCCCAAUAAUAGGUACAGAUUUUGGAAAAAAUUACAUGAUCUUAAAGAUAGUUUAAAAAUUUAUCUAUUGGACUAUUU
rnacentral:lncRNA from 9 species